UACAGAGGUGGCAAGCGUUGUUCGGAAUUACUGGGCGUAAAGAGCUCGUAGGCGGUUUGUCGCGUCGGCCGUGAAAUCUCCACGCUUAACGUGGAGCGUGCGGUCGAUACGGGCAGACUUGAGUUCGGUAGGGGAGACUGGAAUUCCUGGUGUAGCGGUGAAGUGCGCAGAUAUCAGGAGGAACACCGGUGGCGAAGGCGGGUCUCUGGGCCGAUACUGACGCUGAGGAGCGAAAGCGUGGGGAGCGAACAGG
rnacentral:rRNA from 1 species